rnacentral:misc_RNA from 1 species
UAUCCGUAGGUGAACCUGCGGAGGGAUCAUCACAGAGUUCAUGCUCUACCGGGUAGAUCUCCCACCCUAUGUUAUUAUUACUUUGUUGCUUUGGCGGGCCGUUAGGCUCCGGCCCGACUACCGGCCCCGGCUGGUAAGCGCCCGCCAGAGGACCCAAAACCCUGAAUAUUAGUGUCGUCUGAGUACCAUAUAAUAGUUAAAACUUUCAACAACGGAUCUCUUGGUUCUG